rnacentral:lncRNA from 1 species
AAUCAUUACAAAAGUAAGAUGUAGCAUAUGAUGAAAAAUAUCUUUUAUUAUUUAAAGAGUCAAUACAUGAGUCUCGAAGAUUACAAAAAAAAUUUAUCAAAAUAUAAAUUUCGAUUUAUUUGUAGGGCAUAUUUCUUUUAAUCUCUCACUUGCACUAAAGCCAAACACCCUUAUAUUUUAUCCCCAUAUAAUCGAGAUGGCAAUCGAACUGCUGCUGUAGU